rnacentral:rRNA from 1 species
GAUGAACGCUGGCGGCGUGCCUAAUACAUGCAAGUCGAGCGAACAGACGAGGAGCUUGCUCCUCUGACGUUAGCGGCGGACGGGUGAGUAACACGUGGAUAACCUACCUAUAAGACUGGGAUAACUUCGGGAAACCGGAGCUAAUACCGGAUAAUAUAUUGAACCGCAUGGUUCAAUAGUGAAAGACGGUUUUGCUGUCACUUAUAGAUGGAUCCGCGCCGCAUUAGCUAGUUGGUAAGGUAACGGCUUACCAAGGCGACGAUGCGUAGCCGACGUGAGAGGGUGAUCGGCCACACUGGAACUGAGACACGGUCCAGACUCCUACGGGAGGCAGCAGUAGGGAAUCUUCCGCAAUGGGCGAAAGCCUGACGGAGCAACGCCGCGUGAGUGAUGAAGGUCUUCGGAUCGUAAAACUCUGUUAUUAGGGAAGAACAAAUGUGUAAGUAACUAUGCACGUCUUGACGGUACCUAAUCAGAAAGCCACGGCUAACUACGUG